rnacentral:rRNA from 1 species
UACGAAGGGGGCUAGCGUUGCUCGGAAUCACUGGGCGUAAAGGGUGCGUAGGCGGGUUUUAAGUCAGGGGUGAAAUCCUGGAGCUCAACUCCAGAACUGCCUUUGAUACUGAAGAUCUUGAGUCCGGGAGAGGUGAGUGGAACUGCGAGUGUAGAGGUGAAAUUCGUAGAUAUUCGGAAGAACACCAGUGGCGAAGGCGACUCACUGGCCCGUUACUGACGCUGAGGCGCGAAAGCGUGGGGAGCGAACCGG